rnacentral:lncRNA from 1 species
ACUGAAUAAUUAAAUCAGGAAAUGAUGCAAGGAUCAAAUAAAAUCAAGAUGAAAGGCCUCUAAUACAUGGCCUAUAAGAUGAACAAGGGAGGAUCAAAAGAUCUCUUCAAUUGCCAUAAGCAAUCCCUAAGUCAAACAUCGAUCAUAAAGAAGUCAACUGAAAAUUCAAGUCAACUUAAAAAUAUCAAAUAAAUAGCAAAUUAAUCAAGAAAAUUAUGAAAAAUUAAACUAAAUUAGGUGGUGUCAGGACAUCAUCAU